rnacentral:misc_RNA from 1 species
CAAUCAUGCUUCCACUGUAAGCUCAUACUCAGCAUCAAGAAUCACAUAAAUAUUAAUCAAUAAAUUGAAAAAAAAAAUCUAUUGAACAAGACAAGUAAAAAAUAUAUGUUUUUUACUGACUUACUGACUAAAAGAGUGAGAAGAAAGCAAAUUUUGCUUGCCAAUGUACCCAUUAUAAAUUUCUGCAACAAACAUCCAAACCCAGAAUGCAGAAGGAGGUGAACAUUUCACUUUAGGGACAUCUCAUUAGAACAUUCUUCUCAGACUACUCUACAGAAUCAAGCCCAUUUGGGUAAAAAAUGGUAUGCCUUUCUCAAAAAUGGUGCCAAAUUGUCACUGCCAUGCACAGUUAGUCCCACUAGACACACUGAAAUUGAGAAAGCAAAUAAAAUAGAUCAUCAUAGUUCAGUUGGACUUAUGGUUCUGAGCCCAACUCCAAUGACUCUUCUUCUGCUGGUAAUCUCCGGCUAGUGAAAGGAGGCGGUGGGGGAUCAACUGUCAAUGUGCCCUCCAGUACCUUCACUACCUCACUCAUUGAAGGUAUCAUUCGUUCAUCUGUUUGAAGGCACCAAAAUGCAGUUCUCAAUGUUCGCUCCAACUCCUCUAAAUCAAAACCAUCAUCAAUUCUGUUAUCCACAGCCCUCUCUGGGUGACCCUGGAUCCAUUCCUUAUAAGCCCACUCACAAACCUCCUCCACCUGAAGACACCCAGUUACCAAUGUCAACAAUAUCUUGCCAAAAUCCUCCACAUCUUUCUCUCGAAUACGUGAUGUGUCAGGAUGAACCAUCCCCAACCCAAAUUCACUCACCUUGGCCUCAAAAUUUUUGUCCAAGAUUACAUUUUCACACUUCAAAUUUCCAUGGCUUACAAACUCCCUACAUCCUGUGUGUAAAUAACAAAUAGCUCUUGCCACACCUAAGAAUAUGUCAACUCUCCUUCUCCAAGUCAGUUUCUUUCUCAACUCCUCAUCUAACAUAUAUUUCUCCACAGAACCAUUUUUGACAUACUCAUAGACCAAAAUUCUUUGAUCUAAGUCACAACAAUAGCCAUUAAGCUUCACCAAGUUUCUGUGAUGUAUGCUUCCUAUUUUUGAAACAGCAGCUCGAAACUUCCUUUCUUCUAUAGUUGUUUCCAAGUCCUUAACUGCUACUGGCUGGUGGUUUGGAAGCACACCUCUAUACAUCCUUGGCCCAAUUUGAUGCUUGAAAUUUCCUGUGAUUUCCUUGAUUUCAGCAAAGGAUAACAUCAUCAAACCCUUUGAAUUACUGCCCGCAUAGGCCAAGGCAGCUUUCUUCCAAAUCAAAUUUCUUCUUGUAUAGAUGUAGCAGCCAAGUGCUAACUGCAUCACAGCAAAUAUAACAAAUGUACCUGAGGCAGCUCCAACUAGACAAGGAAUACACAAUCUAUAAGAAUUCUUGGCUGGAGAUUUUGCUGAAGAAGAACUUGCAGCAUGGGGAUCAACAGCUACUGGGUCUGCACAGGUCUUAACAAAAGAUACUGGACUUAAAGAAGGGCCUGAAUACCCCGAGAAGUAAGGAGUUGUCUUCAUUCGGCAUUCAGCAGUUCCAUCAUUUGUGAAGGUUGCAGCUGUACAAACUGAGUUCUUCAUGCACAAGUUUUUGCAUUGCUGUAGACUAGUUAUGAUGACUGAAUCACUAGGCGGAUAAAUCUCAUAAAGAAACGUGUGCUCAUAUUUAACCAUACUGAAAGCAGAUUUACAAUCAUAUGCAAAACAUUUUGAAUUAGGAUCAGAUGUCAUCUUAAAUGGGCAAUGGCAUUCAGGGGAUCCUGAUGCAUUGAAAACACAGAUGCCAUGCAGGCCACAUGUUGCAAAGACAUUGCACUGAUUCUCAACAGCUUGCCAGACUGAUCUCCAUGACUUUGAAGCAUCUUCCCAAGAGUACAUCCGCAGAUUACCAUCAACAUCUAGCCUUAGCAAUCGAAAAUUUACGGUGUCAUUGUGAUCUUCUCCAAAGACGGACCAUAUGGGCUCCAAAAUUUGGUCCACAAGUUGCAGAAUUCCACCGGAGGUAAAGACAGCACUGAGGUUGGAUGAUGAUGGAUUUCCACCAGUCCAGUAUAUGACAUCACUUUCCCACUUUAACUGUAACUGGCCUGAAGCAUUCAUAUAAAGACUGUAGUAACUUGACACAGAAUUUUUGCUUGCAGCUCUAAGUGUUUUAUGAGCAGAUAAAUUCUGGCCCGGAAGAAGUGUGUCAGAAGGAUUGUCAAAGCUUUGCCAAACAACAGUCCCCAUUUUAUCCAGUAGAACAAGAUUGCCAUCAUCACGAAGAAGAGCUGAAACAACAGCAGAUUGGCUUGUCUUACUGGUCCACACAGUGACUCCCUUCAAGGAAUCAACCAAAACCAGUUCCCCAGUUUGAGAAAGCUGGAAAUAGGACUUAUUACCAACUGUGAUUUCAGCUCCAGCAACCCAAACCACAGUUUGUUCACUAACAGGAAUGGAUUCUGAAUUAAAGUGAAUUCCAACACUAUAAUGAUUAGGUUCAUCAGCACGGUUAAAGAAUCCAAUAGCAAAAUCGCCAUUGGAAGAAACCCAUGAGUUAUUUUCCUCCGUAGAAAGUUUAGAACCUAAGGGAAUUGUUGAGAGGACAACAUGAAAUAGAAAGAACCCAGUAGAGACAAAUAGCAGAAAAGGUGAAAUAUGGAAGAAUUUGUUCUGUUUAAGCAUAUUUCAUAUGCUUAGCUAUGCUAAAAAAACAAGAAGCUUACAAAGCCACCAAAUAAUCAGUAAAUAUUAAGGCCAUUGAACUUCAAAUUUGCAAAUUAUGAGGGAAAGACAAAGGGAAAAGAUAGGUGCAUUUCAUGAUGUUCAAAACUGAGAAUGCAAAGAACAAAAUAAUAAAGAUUCAAGACCAGGAAUCAUUCAAGGGGUAGUUAAUCACUGGAUAAAAUUCAAGGCUAAUGAAUCACACUUCAAAGAUUAUUAGGCAAAAUCUGGUCUAAAUACAGGAAUUUGAAGGGCAGUAUGAUAUAAUCAAGCAGAAAACAAUGACUAUGACUAUGAAUCAGAUACAAUUCAAGAGGGAACUAAAUAUUCAGAGUUUGGUACCUGAAAGGGGCAGUGAAGAAGCCAGAAAUUCAAGAAGCCAGUAUAGAGUACCAACUUGACCACAACCAAAAUAUCAAAUGUUCUCUAUUGGGCCAGUAAACAAAAUAGGCAUGAGGGCAUCCAACAUAUUUGACCAGGCAAAGAAGAUUGAUGAAUAUCUAAGUAACCAAAAAUGGGAAAUUGGAUGGCAUAGACUAUCUGCAUAUUUUAAUGGUGGUAGAUAAGAGAAAAAUGGGUUCUGAUAUUGAAACUGUUAGCACACAUGGGACCCAAAAUUAGGCGAACGUGUUACCACUUACCAGUUCUGCAAUCAUUUUCAGGGUCAAGUCUAGACAAUGAUACUGGGGAAGAAAGUCAAAAUUAAAACAAAAAUUAAUUAAUAAAUAAAGGAAGAAAGAACAAGAGGAGAAGAAAAUCCAAAACUUAAACAAAUGAUAAAUCUAGAAGGAACAGGCCACACAGUCACACACAUAAAUCACAGAUUUAAUGAAGUGGGCUUGUAGAGUGAGAGAAGCCAAAGAUCUGACUGUUUCCAAGUAAAAUAUUUCCAAGAAAAAUAAGCAAACGCAUAGACUGAAGAAUGUUCAAAGUAGUGAUUUUUCUUUUUCUUUUUUCCCGAAAACUUUUUUCCAAGAAACAAACAAGAAGAUUAGAAAUGCACAAAAGGUAUUUGCCAGAAACGGCGUUCUCGGAGGAGAAAAGGGGUUGUGGGCUUUGGAUAGAGACCAGAGAGGAGAAGUUUAUGGAGACUGAGUGAGUGAGUGAGUAAGUGAGUGAG